rnacentral:tRNA from 1 species
GGAAAGCUGUCGGCCCUGGAACCGCCUGAUAAGCGGAAGGUCGGCGGUUCGAUCCCGCCCCUGGCCACCA